CCAAUAGCGUAUAUUAAAGUUGUUGCAGUUAAAAAGCUCGUAGUUGAAUUUCGGGAUUGACGUGAUGGUCGUGCCUUACGGGGUAUGAACUGUUGCUGUUGAUUUCUCACCUUCUGGAGAAACUUGAUGUCCUUAAUUGGGUGUCUUGCGGAUCCAGGACCUUUACCUUGAAAAAAUUAGAGUGUUUAAAGCAGGCAUUUUGCUCGAAUACAUUAGCAUGGAAUAAUAGAAUAGGACGGCAUGGUUCUAUUUUGUUGGUUUCUAGGAUCACCGUAAUGAUUAAUAGGGAUAGUUGGGGGCAUUAGUAUUCAAUUGUCAGAGGUGAAAUUCUUGGAUUUAUUGAAGACUAACUACUGCGAAAGCAUUUGCCAAGGAUGUUUUCAUUAAUCAAGAACGAAAGUUAGGGGAUCGAAGACGAUCAGAUACCGUCGUAGUCUUAACCAUAAACUAUGCCGACUAGGAAUCAGACGAUGUUAAUUUUUUAAUGACUCGUUUGGCACCUUACG
rnacentral:rRNA from 1 species